CUUUUGGUGUCCUGCUUUUCUCUCUACAUUCUUGCCAGGAGAAUCAAUUCUCCUGCACAGCUUUGACUGUGGCUCCAUUGUGAGUGACUAUCCAAACUACAUCUUUGGUUUCGUCCUCUCAGCUGAGUUUCAACAAUAACUUGGACAUUUUCACCAGUGAAUUUCGCACCUCCUAAAUAACAAGUAAACAGCAAAACUCAGCUGCUUCUUGAACAUGAAUCAUUCCCUGAGUUUGCCUUUAAAAUCUUUGUAAAAUAUUGCAUUUCUAUGAUUCUGUUUUGGUCAUCAAUACCACAAUCCCCAAUGGCCUGGAGGUGUACUUAGUUCCCACAGGCCCUUCUUAAGAAAAAAACUACCUAGUACAAGAAAUUGAAAUCAUUUUUCUGAAUGGUCAAGCAGUGCUCUGAGUGGAUGGAAAUAUUCAUGACAAGAGAAAACCCAUCUAAGGAAGGGUUAACUCACAUGGAACUCCAUUAUGAGCUUCCUUUUGGUAGCCCAAAGUCAGAAUCCUGGAUCUUGAAGUACAUGCUGUGACAUACCAGACCAAUCCUUGCUUCUGGACCAAGGUACCCAUUCCCCCAACUUCUGGGA